rnacentral:lncRNA from 1 species
AGGACAAGAGGCGAUGUCGCAGGGUGAGAUUUCUAUUACUGUAGGAGAUUUUUUUGAGCAGAUCUUUGGUCAGAGUGGAUAUAGCUCAUGAUGGAGGUGAGAUUGAGUGGUCUGGCUUGACUCCCACAUUUGUCCAUCCAUGAGACAGCAGGUAUGUCCCAGGGUGUGGGGGUGAGACGGAUCACAGACUCUCAAAGAUAGGUAGAGGUCGAAUAUCG